rnacentral:snRNA from 1 species
AGAUGGGAGAGUAGUUUGGCUGAGACAUCUGUUGCCCCUUUGUUCAUCAGCGUUGAUUCUAGUGACUGAUUGGUGAGGCAGACAUCCCCCUUCCUCCCUCAUUGCUCCACGUGCACCUGUCCCCCCUGAAGCUACCCAUGUGGAAACACUGCCAAAUAAACAGGAUGGGAAGCCACAGCCCUGGGUGAGUUGUUUAAGAAAA